CAUCUUGCUUCCCCUGUGUCCAGCUGAUGACUCUGCCUUCCUCUUCCCAGAAUUCUCCUAGUCUGCUAGUCCCACCUAUACUUCCUGCCUGGCUACCGGCCAAUUAGUGUUUUAUUAAACCAAUGCAAAUAACAAAUCUUUACCGUGUACAAGAGCAUUAUCCCAUAUCAGUUCACAAUGGUAAUUUGAGUGUCUGCUUUUCCUGCAUGUUGCUCAUCUUUUAUGUAGCUUUCAGCAUAAUGUCUUACAUUUUUCUCCUUUAGUGUUCUUCCUUACUUUCUAAUGAACUGGACAACAUGCUGAAAUUAUGUGGUAACUAUAGCAGACCCAGAAUCUUACUGCCUUUUGGUGAGAAAGGUCUUGAUUUUAUCCAUGCUAUUAUGUAUGUGUCUAUGAAUAUGAUUCUGCUGUUUCCCCUUGUUUCUCGAAGUGCUAGGCACUCACAACGCUGGUCUAUUUAGACAGUCUUCAGACAUUCUAGUUGGAAAGACCAACAUGUAAUUAUGUCAACAGUACAGUGCGGGUCAUUUUCUGAAUGGUAAGCACAGAGAGCCCCCAAAGCCCAAGGAGCACAUGUAGAUCAGACAGGGGUCGGAGAGGACUUCCUAGAAGAGGUCAGCAGGACACAGUGGGAUGAUUGUAAUUCACAAAGCAGGGAUAGCAUGGAGCAUAGAGGGACCAGAAACCAAGCUCCUGAUGGUAGGUACAGGGACGUCAGUGGGGCUGAGUAAUGUGGGAGGCAGCAUGGGAAGGGCAAGAAAGCAUGGAAAGGGUUAGUCAAGUCUAUAAAGGAGAAGAGGAGAAGACAAGGAAGCAUUCCAGAAGCAAGGCUGUGGACGUGUGGCAUGGCAGUAUAAAGUGAUUUAACUUGGGGGCUGGAGAGAUGUUCAUUCAAUAAAGUGCUCACGGUACAAGCUGCAUUUAGAUCCCCAGCAUCUACCUAAAAGCCAGGCAAUGUAGCUCACCUCCAACUUCACUGCUGGGGCAUUGGGCAGACAUAAGAGGGUCGCUGAAGCUCACUGGCUAGCCAGCCUAGCUGGAUCGAUGAGCACCUGGUUCAAUUAGAGACCACCUUCAUAACCCCAGCUGUCCUGGAACUCAGAGAGCCACCUGUCUCUUGAGGGAUGGGAUUAAAGGCAUACACUGCCCCCACUCUGGUUCUUUUGCCUAUUCAUUCAUUUAUUCAUUCAUUCAUAUGUUUUGGUUUUUCGAGACAGGGUUUCUCUGUAGCUUUGGAGCCUAUCCUGGCACUCUCUCUGUAGACCA